UUUAGAACCCUGGAAGGUUCAAAGAGACGAUGCAGAAAGUAAAUCCCUUUAAGUCGUACACACAGAUUCAGGAUCAAUGUCAGAGAGAUUUGACGGUUACCUCUGUCAAGACACUGGAAAACCAAGCAGUUAUUCACAGUGACAACUCCACCAGCUCUGAAAGCCUGGAUGACAGCACAAUAGAGAGACAUGUAAGGCAAUAACCACAUCUCCUUGUCUUUAAAAUGAACCCAGCCCUCCAAGCUCAAAGUUAUUUCUUAUUCACCUGCUACACACAGAAAUGUAUGACUUCAUUUUGUACAUCACCUUUUGUUAACCUAAUUGCAUUUCUUGUAAUGGUUGUUUUAUCUUACCAUCUUCUCGCACUUGGUGAUUUCCAGAACCUAUUGUUCAGUGAAAAAUACUAGCAUGUUGUCAGUCUGCAAAAAUGCAAAGCAUGUGACCAGGUUGAAGCAGUGCUUAC